UCCAGGGACGCAGGCUCCUCUCCAAGAGCUGCCACAGAGCUCUCUGCCCCCGUGUGCCCCUUGGCAGUCUUCGGAGUCAUUUUCCUUCAGUGGGCAUCAGCACAGCUCAGUAGUGACCAGCCAACAUCCUGCCUCUGUGGGCAUCACCUCCAUUAUUUUGUGCUUCCAUGGGGCUCUUCUCCUUUGACCUCCCCAAGUCAUCACCAGUGAAACUGCUAACAGCGCAGCCUCCGUGUUGUCCUGGGGACUGUCCAUGCCUGCCCCAUGACCAGGAUGUGACUUACUUGCCUCCUAUGCAAAGGUGAGCCACUCCCAAUCCUCUCCCCGAUGCCGGUUUUCUCAGACCUCUUCCUCCAUUUCUGGCGCUGUUCCAGGACUUCUGGGGAGCAGAUGCCAAGACCUAGCACAGAGGGUUUUAAUAGGGGAACGCCCUGUGUGAGAAAAAGCCAGGAGGUGUCCCUAAGGCUGGGAAAGUGUGCACACAUGGUGCAGGUCUCAGCCCGAGCCCAGGAAAGCAGAAAGGUGGCGUGGUAGCCAUGCCAUCUGAGAAAAGCCUGGCAUGGCCUCCAGGGAAUCCUUCCACCAACGUUUCUCAUCAGAGGACUGUCGGGUGUGCCAAGGACAAGCCUGCAGAGAUUGCAGUCCUGGGGACCAGCCCAAAGCUUUGGGGUAAAUGCAGCCCUGGAUAUCAGCUCUCAGUUGCUGGAUCUUCGGACAGUUCCUCUCCCUACAGCAAGCUCAAAAAGCAGUAACUGAAUGAAGGCUGUUGGCAAUCGUGACUGUAUUGAAACUGAAAGCUCCUGUUUUAAAAAGAUGCCACUGAGAAGGUAGAAACGGGAGCCUCGGAGUGGGGAGUUUUCUGCAAAGCAGAGAGCUCUCAGGAUGUAUAUCAGCUGAAUGAGGAACACCUACAAAGGCAAAGAAGCUGCAGUUCAGGAGGAAAGAAAUGGUCAAGGUACUAAAACGGCGUUUCACAAAAGGGGACAUUCAAAUGGCCAGUCAAUACAUGAAAAAGGCACUCAGCCUCAUUUCCCAGGAGAGAAGCGCAAAUGCCUCCAGGCAUGCAGCAGAGGCUAAAGUGAAAAAGACAGGUACCAGGCAGUGCAGGGAGGGCGUGGGACUGCAGGGACACAGGCUUGCUGCCAGUGGCAGAGGCACAAGCACCUUGGAAAACUGGGAAUUUCUAUUGGAGCAGAUCAUCUGGGAAAUUCACAACCCAGCUGCCCCUCUCCUGAAGAUGUGCAGGAGAGAGAGGGGAUGCCCAGGUGCCUAGGACAUGCAGAGUGCUGGUCCCCAGCAGUUAGUCUUGAAUGCCCAAAUGGAAAACACCCACAUCUGCACAUCUAUUCGCACAAGUGGAAUAACGGUCAGCAGUGAGGAUUCAUGGGAGUUGGCUCCACCCAACACCACCCUUGAAUCACAGUCAAUAAAAGGUGCUGGGCACAAACAAUCACAUGCUGAUUGCUUCCAUUUAUAAACAGUUCCAAGCACAAGAACUGGCUUAAAAGAUGAUGGUGCUAAGGGAUGAGUGCUUAGGUUGUAAGAACACAUGUAAAGGGCUGGAAUUGCUUGCCAGAUGUUGAUCAAGGCAGUGAGACGAGGUGGUCCUUUUCCCUGUUUUGUGAUGAUUGCUUUGUGAAAAUGUACCCAGCUGUGCAUUGCCUUAAAUUUUAUUUUUAAUUGACUUCUGUGCUACAUGUUCUAUUCCUUUGUGUUAUAGUUCACAUUUCAGAAGUUUUUGUUUAAAGAAGUAUUUUCUUUCCUUCAGGUUAUGAAUGUUUCAUUGUUUUUGACGGAAAGUCACCCCUGUCUUGCUGCUUUGAAAAUAAUUGGGUUUUUCUCUG